UACGUAGGUGGCAAGCGUUGUCCGGAUUUAUUGGGUUUAAAGGGUGCGUAGGCGGUCUAUUAAGUCAGUUGUGAAAUACGGCAGCUCAACUGUCGAGGUGCAAUUGAUACUGAUGGACUUGAGUACUGAUGAGGUAAGCGGAAUGGACGGUGUAGCGGUGAAAAUGCUUAGAUAUCGUCCAGAACACCGAUAGCGAAGGCAGCUUACUAAGGAGUAACUGACGCUGAGGCACGAAAAGUGUGGGGAUCAAACAGG
rnacentral:rRNA from 1 species